GAUGAACGCUGGCGGCGUGCCUAAUACAUGCAAGUCGAGCGAAAGCACGAGAGGCAUGUUUCUCUGAUGUUAGCGGCGGACGCGUGAGUAACACGUGGAUAACCUACCUCUACGACUGGGAUAACUUCGGGAAACCGUAGCUAAUACCGGAUACUAUUUUGAACCGCCUGGUUCAAAAGUGAAAGACGGUCUUGCUGUCACUUAUAGAUGGAUCCGCGCUGCAUUGGCUAGUUGGUAAGGUAACGGCUUACCAAGGCAACGAUGCAUAGCCGAGCUGAGAGGGUGAGCGGCUGCGCCGGAUAUGAGACACGGUACAGACACCAACGAGAGGGGACAGAGGAGAAUCUUACACGAGUCAAGAAAGCCUAGCGGGACAAAGCCACGUGAGUGGUGAAGAGCCUAGGAUCGUAGAACUAUAUUAUUAGGGAAAAACAUAUGUGUAAGUAACUGUGCACAUCUUGACGGUACCUAAUCAGAAAGCCACGGCUAACUACGUG
rnacentral:rRNA from 1 species